CUUAUAUAUGAAACAAUGAUCGCGUUAAUUUGAAUACAUAAGUUUGAGAAUAAUUUUUUUUCUAUGUAUGAGAAUUUAUAGAUAUUGCCUACGUUCGGCAGACAAAAUAGAUCAGUGAGUGUGAUAUUUUAUUAUAAUUGAUUAAAAAAAAACAGUUGAAUAUAAGUGUGGAAAUCAAUUUAAUUAAAUUAGUUCCGCUUUUCUAUCAAAUAUCAUCGUCAUCCAUAUAUUUUAUACAUAGGUUUAACAAAUGAUAGAGAUUUAGGCGAGCAAUCUCCGAUUGCUGUACGGCGGACGAGUCGUUGAUAUGCCAUACAGGGCACGGUUGCAGCAUGCGUAUCAGACGGCGUGACGCCACGGCCCCUCGGCUAUCUUCGUCGUUGGUCGGCCGCGGUCGCUAUCACCUCCGCCGACUCCGCCGCCAUGUCUGUUUUCCGUUCCUCCCGCUCAGCCGAAGUUGUGCUUCGUGCUUCUCGUGUUUCGAACUCGAAAUGUGUGCGUAUACGGCGACGUAGAGUGCCGGAAACGUGGUACGCACGAUCUUCUCGACACGCGGGUGCCAGCGUCGUUCGUAAAUGGAUCGAAUUCGUUCGUAAAGUGCUGCCGAUCGCGUUGCAACCAAGCGCCAAACUUCGCGCGCAUUUCACCUUUUUUUUUCAUGGCGCGAGACACUACCGUGUCUCUCUUGUUGUUAUUUGCGCGAUAACGAGAAUACCGGAGAUAGAGUAAUUGUCAUCGUCGUGUCCUCGCGAGUAAACUCUUAAAAGAGAUGUAUCGUGAAAGAAGCACCGUCGAACGAAUCGGUAGUUUUUUCGUGGAAUUGCACGAUCCUUCGCGUUGUUCCUCCGUUUCGGAACGGAAAGAAAAUCGUGCGCGAUCGUCCUACGAAGAUCGCGCGAUCUUGUGUUCGGUUAUUAACGUUCAAGUGAUGUACAACAAAUCGUGAGUGUCAUGAAGGACUAACAAAUAAAGCGAAAUUUGAGAGGAGUCAUCGGGAGUCCUCCCUCCCAGGAGCAGGAGGAACAGAUCCGGAGGGAGAGGGGGCAUUAACGGAACAACUACAGGAUGGAUGUAAUAUCAAUUCUGCUGUUGCGCAUUAGUGUUCGGUAAGUCUAAAACUUUUUUUAUUUUAAAUUAAAAUAUAUCUAUGAAAACUAUGUCAUAGAUCUGAGGAGCAGUCAUGACCAUCACUUAACUGAUUUUUUUUAAGUGCCACUAUGUCCAUGAAACUUGGACCUACAGAUAGUAUAUUAUGUCUAUAACUGAAAUAGUCAUGGCCAUCAUUUAACUGAUUUUUUUUAAGUGCCACUAUGUCCAUGAAACUUGGACCUACAGAUAGUAUAUUAUGUCUAUAACGUGAAAUAGUCAUGGCCAUCAUUUAACUGAUUUUUUUUAAGUGCCACUAUGUCCAUGAAACUUGGACCUACAGAUAGUAUAUUAUGUCUAUAACUGAAAUAGUCAUGGCCAUCAUUUAACUGAUUUUUUUUAAGUGCCACUAUGUCCAUGAAACUUGGACCUACAGAUAGUAUAUUAUGUCUAUAACGUGAAAUAGUCAUGGCCAUCAUUUAACUGAUCUUUUUUAAGUGCCACUAUGUCCAUGAUACUUGGACCUACAGACAGUAUAUUAUGUCUAUAACGUGAAAUAAAAUUUAUAUAUUUAUAUGUUUUCAUAUUUGUAAUAGAACUACUCGACAUUAUUUUUGAAUUAUAAAAUAAUUUACACGAUCUUAUACUAAUAAUUAUACAAAAUCAAUUAUAAGCAAUUGUCAAUCGAUUUAUCUACAAGUCAUUACGUAUAAUUAGAGAAAGAAUUAACGAACGGUUCAAAUAAGUCUUUAGUUAUCUUUAUUGUUAUCCAUAACUCAAGACUUUGCUAUUAAAAGUCGGCAAUUACGUAAUAUACUUACUUUUACUACUAAAAAUUAAAUUUAUUUUUAACAAUGUAGGAAGAUUAAAACAUGGAGAAAGUCUUUCUUUCUGAUACAAAUAAAACAAAAAGUGAAUAGUGAAAACUUAUCGAAAAGGAGGAUAUGAUGUGUUAGAGGAAUUAGGAAAUUUUUUUUCAAGAAAUUAACAAUUUGCACAACCAUCUGACAUAUUUAAGGGGUUUUUAUUUCGGAAUUGCAUCCAUUUUUGAAAUAUAUAAUUAAUAUCUCGCAACGGACGCGUUGACCCUGCAGCAAAAUGCGACGGGAAGAAAAAAGGAAUCUUCGCCGAACGCGAAAAAAUCACCGACACACAUUAUUUUGUUUCUCUCUCUUUUUUUUUCUCCCCGGCUGACGCCUGUGCCGAAACUAAGAAUUUGAGAAGAUGAGAGAACAUGAUUUUUCUAUUUUGGUAUCACUCACUUUCGACGCAUUUACCCUAUCGGGAUAAUACCGUCGCUACAUUCCGCUUCGUUUAUCGCUUUAUUUUCUCUCGCUCGCUCUCUCUUUCUCUCUCUUUCCUCUCCCAUUAUCUCCCUUCUUUUUUCAUAAACUCAAGUUAUAUACAAUGAAGUGUCUCGCGUACUUGAUUUUUAGAGAAUCACCAGUUUGAUUAUGUAUUCAUUAAAUGCCAAUUUUCUCGAAACUAAAGCCAGUUGCUUGAGUUGUUGAAUGUAGCAGUUAAAAAAAUUUGUUUACAAUACCUUUUCGAGUCUACCCUUUCGAGUUCUACUUCUAAUAACCUAAUAAUUGCAUAAUACAUUAUUUAUAGCUUUGUCACAGAUAGCGAUUUGCUUCCAAUUAACUGGCUCUUCCACAAAUUUCAAGUCGACGCCUAUUUUUAAAAUAUAUAAAUUGCAAGGAUAUUAUUGCAUAUUGAUAUUUUAAAUUAUACUUGUGUAAUUAUAUGGGAGUAUAUUUUACAGUGUGUAUAGGAUUUCCAACCCUCUGCGUCUUUCAGAUUUCAUAUUGCAGGAUACAGUUAAUUGCUCUCGCCUAUUUAUCCCUUUUCUUUUCCUUUUUUGCUACCCUCCCCCCCCCCCCUCUCUCUCUCUCUCGCUCUCUCUUUUUCUUCACGCGCACACACAACACACACGACACGCAUACACACACGCACGCGCAAUCGCAUUUUCCAUUGACUUUGCAUCUCCGUCCGAUACUCGAAACCGCCUCGUGCCUACAACCAUUCACGUGAAAUCUUUCCUUACUCCGAUCGACUUCGGAAACCGAUGAUCAGACGAUCGCGCGAGACAAUCGUGUUGCUCUACAUUUGUUGUGUCGCGGAGAGAAAAUUUCGCGCGGAUCUCUCGGACGAUUCCUCUCGCAAAGUAAUCCGCUCGUCGUUGGUCAGCGGCCGGAGAAAAUUCGCGUAAACGAAUUCGCUUCGUGUUUUUUUCGUGGAGGACUGUUUUUAAGGCACUUUAACCUGCACUACGAAAUUGUAUCGUAUUAUUGUAGAUGAACGUGACGCCUGUACGUUAGAUUCGUUAGAAGAACACACCUGCGCGCUAAUAAAUAGUCAGUACUUUCCGAUUAAACUCACUAUAUAUUAAAUAUAUCCGCACUAAACGCAAAGUUGCUUUGCGACUCGACGAGUUUUAAGCUCCGAGACGAGAAUUCGCUAAAAGGCAUUUAAGUGCAAGGGCACUUGCUCUUAAUAGAGAGAAUAAUUUAUUUUGUAUAUUCGCUAAAACUGCGCGUUAUUAUCUUUUUCCUCGCAAACACUUGUAAAACAUGGUUUUUCUUUUUCUCUACGUCGUUUGAGCGCGACUGAAUUUGCGAGAGGGAGGCGAAGACCCGAGAAAACAAUCUCUCUCUCUCUCUCUUUUUCUCACUCUCUCUCUUUCUUUCUCUCUCCUUUACGAUCUACGAAUUUGGGAUUUCCGAAGUCGAUCGCACGCCUAUUUGCGCGGCAUUCUUCGUGGUGGGAAGUGUGUUUCGUUCCGGCCGUCCGUCGUCGCGAGCGGAGCCGGGCGGACGCAAUCGCACGCAGAUCGCGUCUUCUCGAAGCUCGAGAGAACCUACCGAAAUUCCCUUCCCUUCUCGCGGAAGUCAGUGCAAUAUAAGAGUGUUAAUCGCGUCGUGUGUUUUUUUUUUUUUUUUUGUCACGUCCCCCCGGCGUCGCACGCAUCCGGAUCGGCGACCAUCGCACACCUUCCACAAGUUUAGCGGAUUAAUCACUGGAAGAGAGAGAUAAAAAAGACGUUUUUUUUCCGUUUUCUACUUUUCUUUAUGUUAAUUGAUUAAGUUAGUGUGUGUGGGG
rnacentral:lncRNA from 1 species